GAUGAACGCUGGCGGCGUGCCUAAUACAUGCAAGUCGAGCGAACGGACGAGAAGCUUGCUUCUCUGAUGUUAGCGGCGGACAGGUGAGUAACACGUGGAUAACCUACCUAUAAUACUGGGAUAACUUCGGGAAACCGGAGCUAAUACCAGCUAAUAUUUUGAACCGCAUGGUUCAAAAGUGAAAGACGGUCUUGCUGUCACUUAUAGAUGGAUCCGCGCUGCAUUAGCUAGUUGGUAAGGUAACGGCUUACCAAGGCAACGAUGCGUAGCCGACCUGAGAGGGUGAUCGGCCACACUGGAACUGAGACACGGUCCAGACUCCUACGGGAGGCAGCAGUAGGGAAUCUUCCGCAAUGGGCGAAAGCCUGACGGAGCAACGCCGCGUGAGUGAUGAAGGUCUUCGGAUCGUAAAACUCUGUUAUUAGGGAAGAACAUAUGUGUAAGUAACUGUGCACAUCUUGACGGUACCUAAUCAGAAAGCCACGGCUAACUACGUG
rnacentral:rRNA from 1 species